UGCCCUGGCAGUCAGAGGCGAUGAAGGACGUGCUAAUCUGCGAUAAGCGCCGGUAAGGUGAUAUGAACCGUUAUAACCGGCGAUUUCCGAAUGGGGAAACCCAGUGUGAUUCGUCACACUAUCAUUAACUGAAUCCAUAGGUUAAUGAGGCGAACCGGGGGAACUGAAACAUCUAAGUACCCCGAGGAAAAGAAAUCAACCGAGAUUCCCCCAGUAGCGGCGAGCGAACGGGGAGGAGCCCAGAGCCUGAAUCAGCAUGUGUGUUAGUGGAAGCGUCUGGAAAGGCGCGCGAUACAGGGUGACAGCCCCGUACACAAAAGCGCAUGUGCUGUGAGCUCGAUGAGUAGGGCGGGACACGUGGUAUCCUGUCUGAAUAUGGGGGGACCAUCCUCCAAGGCUAAAUACUCCUGACUGACCGAUAGUGAACCAGUACCGUGAGGGAAAGGCGAAAAGAACCCCGGCGAGGGGAGUGAAAAAGAACCUGAAACCGUGU
rnacentral:rRNA from 1 species